rnacentral:rRNA from 1 species
UUAAAAAGCUCGUAGUUGAAUUUCGGGAUUAGUACGUUGGUCGUGCCUUAGGUACGUACUGGUGUUACUGGUUCCUACCUUCUGACGAACCAUCAUGUCAUUAAUUUGGUGUGGCGGGGAAUCAGGACUGUUACUUUGAAAAAAUUAGAGUGUUUAAAGCAGGCUCGCGCUUGAAUACAUUAGCAUGGAAUAAUGAAAUAGGACGUUGACCCUAUUUUGUUGGUCUCUAGGAUUGACGUAAUGAUUAAUAGGGAUAGUUGGGGG